rnacentral:rRNA from 1 species
GAUGAACGCUGGCGGCGUGCCUAAUACGUGCAGGUCGAGCGAACGGACGAGAAGCUUGCUUCUCUGAUGUUAGCGGCGGACGGGUGAGUAACACGUGGAUAACCUACCUAUAAGACUGGGAUAACUUCGGGAAACCGUAGCUAAUACCGGAUAAUAUUUUGAACCGCAUGGUUCAAAAGUGAAAGACGGUCUUGCUGUCACUUAUAGAUGGAUCCGCGCUGCAUUAGCUAGUUGGUAAGGUAACGGCUUACCAAGGCAACGAUGCAUAGCCGACCUGAGAGGGUGAUCGGCCACACUGGAACUGAGACACGGUCCAGACUCCUACGGGAGGCAGCAGUAGGGAAUCUUCCGCAAUGGGCGAAAGCCUGACGGAGCAACGCCGCGUGAGUGAUGAAGGUCUUCGGAUCGUAAAACUCUGUUAUUAGGGAAGAACAUAUGUGUAAGUAACUGUGCACAUCUUGACGGUACCUAAUCAGAAAGCCACGGCUAACUACGUG